AUGUUAGAUGGCAAAUAAGCAUUACAAUGUAGGCUAAAAACAUUUUAAUGAUGGACAUUCAAUCACCACCAUUUCUUGUCCUAUGAUACUUGAGAUUUCAAUUUGCCUUAUUUUUUGGCUCAUGCCAUAAAAUGAGCUAGCAAAAUGGAUGGAUGGCAUGUAUAAAACAUAUACAUAAUGUUGGCUUACAGCGCACCAUUCAAUAGCAAUUGGGCCAUGUCCUAAUUCUUAUUUAUUUUUGGCUCAUGCUAAAGCAUAUGUAUGGCAUCGAUACAACACAUACAUUGAGAUGGGCCCUCGUCCAGGGUCUCAUCCACAAGUGGUCCACUUAUGAUUUGAAUUUGCCUAAUGGAUAUAUAACAAAUGCAUGAGGUGGGCCCCACAUUUAAGGUGUCAUUCACUAGUGGACCACCUGAGAUUUAGAUCUACCUAAAAUUUUGGACCAUGCCUUAAAAUGAGUUGGCAAAACAAAUUGACGGCAUGGAUAUACAAACACAUCGAGGUGGCCCGCCUGGCCCUCCAAUAGUCCACCUGAGACAUGGAUCUGCCUCAUUUUUUUUUUUUACCAUGCCCUUAAAUGAGUUGCCAAAAUGGAUGGACGACAUGGAUAUAUAAUACAUAAUCGAGUGGGCCCCACAUACAUGGCCUUAAAAAUUUUGUGUGUGAGGUAUAUAUCAACUCAAAAUUAACCAAUUAAAAUUUGAGACUAUUAUUGCUAAGUCACAAUCUCAAAAUUAGAUUGUUUGAACAAUUUUCACCAUUAGUUUGCCGACACUUUUUUUUUUUGGAAUAGGACCAUUUGAUAAAUCAUUCUUCAUUGUCCGAUAAAUGUCCACCAAUCCAUUAGUGGGAUAAGUGCCAAUAGAUUGCAUUAAUUUGAGGCUAAUUUGUGGCAUUGAAUGGUGCGUAAAUCAGCCUUGAAUCGACAAUACUAUUUACCCCAAUUUAAUUUUAAUUUUUUCUUAAGAUCUAUGAGGGAAAAUGAUAUCAAAUUGUUAGGUAUAUGAAUUACAUAAUAGGAUACAAAAGUCCGUAAACUCUAUAUAUCGAAAUGAAAUGUAUGCGAGUUGCGAGGUAUGCAAUGCACCAAUACUAUAAAUAAUAGUAAAACCUGAAAAUAUAAGAUGUUUUGAUAUUACAUUCAUUAUAGUAAAUUUUUAUAGAUAUUAUAUAAUUAGAAAACUAAAUAUAAAAGGUUUGUAGUCAAUUCCAAGUUGUCAGGUUCAUAAAUCCGUCAAACAGCCCGAUAUAGCAUUCCCACCAAAGAUUGGACCAUUACACUACCAUAAACAUAUUCAAAAUUAUAAAUGAAUGCAUAUUUGGAAUAUUUAUAAUUUUUUGGAUUUUCUUAAUAUUUUUUCAAAUUUUUUGGAGCAUUUUUUAAUCCGAUAUAGGGGCGUAUCACCUGUGACGCCCCUCGUAUCGCCCGUUACACCAAUUCGGCGUAUCCUUAACGGUGGGCACCGUAUGCUUCAAAUGGCAUGCCCAAAGUAUAUACCUUGGGAGAUUUUUACUUUUUCUCUUCUGAUAAGCAACAACAAUAGAUAAUUUUAUUUGAAGGAUACAAAAAGCAAUAACAGUGCAUAUAUUCAUUAAGAUAAUGGAUUAGCAUUCCCAACCAAGACCCCUUCCCUAGUUACAUCUUUCUUAGCUAGCACAUCUGCUAAGACGCUCAGCUUAUGGGGCACCACUUCCACAGCAGCUCACAAAACCCCGACACAUAUGCCAUGGCAUUCUAUGGAUCUCCUUCCAUAAGUAGACACUCAGCUUAUGGGGCACCACUUCCACAACAGCUCACAAAAGCCCGACACAUAUGCUAUGGCAAUCUAUGGAUCUCCUUCCAUAAGUGAGUAGAGUGCCAUGAAAAGAAACCCGAUAAAGCUUGAUACCAGUUUUUAUUGCCUCCUAGUUCCAAUUCUGCCCUAUUUGACUCACCCACUCUGGCAGGCCUGGAAAUGCCAAUUCCACUUAAGCUCUAUCAUUGUGAACCCCUUCCCCCACCCCAAAAUCCCCCAGAUUGCCAAAGGAACUACUGUCUGUGUUCAACUUUCACCAUCCAUUAGGAGGAUUCCGAGAAGCACCUUUCUUGGAGGGGGAUUCUGUAUGAGUACCCAUGCUUCUACUCAAGCAACAUUACUGAUCGUAGAUUUUUUUUAGAUCAGUAGAGGUGUUGCACUAAAAAAGCAAUGGGUGAAGGAAAGAAAAUAAACUAGCAUCUUUCAUUUUUUUUUUAAUUCUCUGGUUUUAUUGACGUAAGUGAGCAAAUUUCCAUGUAAUUGGUUCUUUUCAUUCUCUAUGGCAAUAACCUGAUUAAAACCGGGAAGUUGUGGCUGGAAGUGGCCGAGAGGAUAUGUCAUUUACGGUAUACUCUAAUUAUUUUAUUGCCAUAUUGUGGAAUAGAUAUAUUCAUUGUACUUUUCACUUUUAUGAGACAGAGGUUCUUAAAAUUGAAUGCUGGGCAAAACUGUCCUUAUUAUGUGCUU